rnacentral:rRNA from 1 species
CAGGGUACUCGAGUGGCGAACGGGUGAGUAACACGUGGGUGAUCUGCCCUGCACUUCGGGAUAAGCUUGGGAAACUGGGUCUAAUACCGGAUAGGAGCCAUCUUUAGUGUGGUGGUUGGAAAGUUUUUUCGGUGUAGGAUGAGCUCGCGGCCUAUCAGCUUGUUGGUGGGGUAAUGGCCUACCAAGGCGGCGACGGGUAGCCGGCCCGAGAGGGUGUACGGCCACAUUGGGACUGAGAUACGGCCCAG